CACUCACUCAACUUGGCUGUGACGUGCCGUUUGAUCCGCCACAACCUCCUUGAGUGAGUGU
rnacentral:pre_miRNA from 1 species